rnacentral:tRNA from 2 species
GCCCUCGUAGCUCAGUCGGAUAGAGCACAGGAUUCCUAAUCCUGGUGCCGCAGGUUCGAUUCCUGCCGAGGGCACCA